GGGUCAGUUUGGGAAGAGCUGCUGCCCAUGGGAAGGACACUCACUGGUGAAGUAUGGAGAACUGCCUUCACAGGUGGCACUCCGUACUGGAGCUGGAGAAGAGCAUGAGGGGGAAGGAACAUCUGAGACAACUGGCUGUUAGCUGACCACAGCCCCCACUGCCCACCCCUGUGUGCUGCUCAGGAAGAGGAGGCAGAGAAAUCCAGGGUGCCAUCAUUGCUGACUCCACACUUUCUUCAGGUAAGCUGAGCCUCUGGUGGACAGAUAGAGACAACACUCCUGUGUGGCAAGACAAGAAGUUGGGUUUUAUUUGUUACACUAAAUAAAGAGACACCACCAUUUGAAAAGGAGUCUGAACCACUCCAUGGAUGACAAUUCUGUGUAGUGUGCUUUGUCUGUCCACCAUCUCCUGAAAGCUGCAUGAAAUUGAGGUUCCCAACAACUGAAGAAAGAGAACUCUACAGAAGUUAUAAAUGUAGAUGACACACUAUUCUUGAUCUGGGUUUUUGGUUUUGUAUUGCAUUGCACUACAAUGGCUUUUUCUGCAACAUUUACAAAACUUCAAGUAUCCUGGUGAAGGAGCUGGGCCUGUUUAGCCUGGAGAAAAGGAGACUCAGGGGAGUCCUUAUCAUUCUCUACAGCUACCCGGAAGAAGGUUGUAGCCAGGUGGAAGUCAGUCUUUUC